GACGAACGCUGGCGGCGUGCUUAACACAUGCAAGUCGAACGGAAAGGCCCUGCUUUUGUGGGGUGCUCGAGUGGCGAACGGGUGAGUAACACGUGAGUAACCUGCCCUUGACUUUGGGAUAACUUCAGGAAACUGGGGCUAAUACCGGAUAGGAGCUCCUGCUGCAUGGUGGGGGUUGGAAAGUUUCGGCGGUUGGGGAUGGACUCGCGGCUUAUCAGCUUGUUGGUGGGAUAGUGGCUUACCAAGGCUUUGACGGGUAGCCGGCCUGAGAGGGUGACCGGCCACAUUGGGACUGAGAUACGGCCCAGACUCCUACGGGAGGCAGCAGCGGGGAAUAUUGCACAAUGGGCGGAAGCCUGAUGCAGCAACGCCGCGUGCGGGAUGACGGCCUUCGGGUUGUAAACCGCUUUCGCCUGUGACGAAGCGUGAGUGACGGUAAUGGGUAAAGAAGCACCGGCUAACUACGUG
rnacentral:rRNA from 1 species